rnacentral:rRNA from 1 species
CCUACGGGAGGCAGCAGUGGGGAAUAUUGCACAAUGGGGGAAACCCUGAUGCAGCGACGCCGCGUGAGUGAAGAAGUAUUUCGGUAUGUAAAGCUCUAUCAGCAGGAACGAGACAAGACGGUACCUGACUAAGAAGCCCCGGCUAACGACGUACCAGCAGCCGCGGUAAUACGUAGGGGGCAAGCGUUAUCCGGAAUCACGGGGUGUAAAGGGAGCGUAGGCGGCUGUGCAAGCAUGAAGGGAAAGGCGGGGGCCCAACCCCUGGACUGCCUUGGAAACUGUGCGGCUGGAGUGCAGGAGAGGUACGUGGAAUGCCUAGUGUAGCGGGGAAAUGCGUAGAUAUUAGGCGGAACACCAGUGGCGAAGGCGGCUUACUGGACUGUAACUGACGUUGAGGCACGAAAGCGUGGGGAGCAAACAGGAUUAGAUACCCGGGUAGUC